UACGUAGGGGGCGAGCGUUGUCCGGAUUUAUUGGGCGUAAAGAGCGUGUAGGCUGUUCGGUAAGUCUGCCGUGAAAACCUGAGGCUCAACCUCGGGCGUGCGGUGGAUACUGCCGGGCUAGAGGACGGUAGAGGCGAGUGGAAUUCCCGGUGUAGCGGUGAAAUGCGCAGAUAUCAGGAGGAACACCAAUGGCGAAGGCAGCACUCUGGGACGUGACUGACGCUGAGACGCGAAAGCGUGGGGAGCAAACAGG
rnacentral:rRNA from 1 species